rnacentral:rRNA from 1 species
GACGAACCGUGCAAACGUUAUUUGGAAUCACUGGGCUUAAAGGGCGCGUAGGCGGGCGACAAAGUCAGAGGUGAAAUCUUUCGGCUUAACCGGAAAACUGCCUUUGAUACUGGUUGUCUUGAGGGAGGUAGGGGCAUGUGGAACUUCCGGUGGAGCGGUGAAAUGUGUUGAUAUCGGAAGGAACGCCGGUGGCGAAAGCGACGUGCUGGACCUCUUCUGACGCUGAGGCGCGAAAGCUAGGGUAGCGAACGGG